UGCUUGCUCUCUGGCUCUCAAAAAAUGGAUGAAAAUGUUAAAAAAAAAAAAUUCAAAAGAGAAGAAAAGAAAUUGGAGAGAGAGCAGGAUUCAUGGGCAGUGGUGUAAGUGAGGAGCCAGAAUGGGGGAAACAGCACUAUUUCCGGAGUGGGUGGGGAGGAGAGGGGCUUGUGGUGGCUCAUAGGGGGAGCAUGGACACGUUAUAUGGAAGAAGCCAGACACAGAACAUAGCAUGUGAUUCCACGUAUAUAAAUGUCAAAAACAGGCGAAACUAACCCGUGGCGAUAGAGGUCAGCCUUGUGAAGAACAUUCCGUGUCUUCAUGUGGGUGAUUACAUGUAUGUGCGCAUAUAGACCGAUACGCUAAGAUCUGGGCGCCCUACUGUAAGUUACACCUAAACAACAGUCUUACCAAAAAAAAAAAAAAAAAAAAAAGAAGAUGGAAGUGUGGAAAGGAAAAAUAAUUUUCUUUUCCCUCUUCUGACUUCUCGGCUGAGACCCCUGUCAUAAAAGAUUAACAAGAGAAAAGAGUUUAAUAACAUGUUUACGUCGUGUGUACAUCAUGGGAGAUGCCCGGGGGGGGGGGGCAGUGACUCAUCCCCUGAGGUGGCUUAGAGCUCGGGCUUCAAUAGCUCUCGGGAGGGAAAGGGGAAGGCAGGCCUCGGAGGGGGAAGACGACGAUUUUUGAGGAAGGUGAAAGGGCCCUUGGAAGAACAGCUUGUGACAAAGCUUGUGAGCAUGUGGCGCCCCGCUUCUGGUCUCCUCUCCUGUGGUAAUGGCUGAAGACCCUCCCAGGGAGGGGAUCUGUGAUGGUCGAGUUCCUUUGGGAGCAUCUGUCUUGAGGCAGGAAGGGGGUUCAGAGAAAGGCUCUCCCUGCAUCUGCUGGUUUCCAAGUGCCUCCAGCCCGAAGGCAUCACUCUACCAGAGUGGCAUAUUUUUGGGUGGCGGGUUUUCUGCUACACUUCGGAAGGAAGAUGGAAGGAAGGGAGGAAGGAGGGAGGAAGACGGAGGGAAGAAGGAAGCCUGGAGCCUGUGGUGUCGGGAGAGGGUGGAUAUUCAAGGAAGAAUGAGGGCCGGUGUCGCUCACGCCGAGAGGUGCGGCCACGGGCUGGCUCUGUAGGGCGGCGUGCGCGUGACCGUGUCCUCGGAAGCCUCCCUGCCAGCCCUCCCGUGUUCACUAGCGUGUGUUCCUCGCGCUGUCGAAUGGGGGGCAUAGAACAGACCCUGACAUGGAAUCCGAGCAGGGAGGGGGCACGAUCCUCAGGUCACAGCCGUACCCGAGGAGUCUCCCGUGCUCUUGUCCGUAGCUCCCACCAGUGCGAACGGCCACGUCUGUGGCUCCCUGCGUGCCCUCCCCGCCGAAUCCCUGUGUUUAAAUUUGAUAACGUUUAAUUUAAAAAGGUGAUUAAUGACUGUAAUUUAAUUUAAAAGAACUGUCUUCUAUUUUAAUGUGUGGGUUUCCCAUAGAAACCACUUCAGCUUCGGCGGCCCUCCAUGGCGGCUUUAUUAAGGGAGCCAUCUGCAGGCUUUCCUGGCUUUCCUGACAAUCUGUCGUGCUGUUCCCCGCUUCCAGUGCAAACACUGUUCAUUGUGUGGGAGGCUCCAGCCGGCCGUCGGGAGGGGACAGUCUUCCCUCCCUGUGCGAGUAGCACAGCUGGGCUCUUUCUCUCCUGUUCUGUGGAUGCUGGGCCUUCACCGGGCAGGUAGGGGCAGAGCCCGAAGCUCGCCGCAUGGGCCUCCCCCGUGCCUCGGAUGCUGUGCGUGGGUCUGGCCCUCACUGAUGGCACCUAAACUUACCUAAGCCCACAGUGAAAAAUGGCUUUCUCAUCUCAGCUUUGUUUUCUCUGUCAGAUUCCUCACUUGCCCAGAGGCAGGGCCGACCCGUGGUGCCACGAGAACCGGAUUGGAUCUUCCCGAUGCUCCAGGGUCCUGUGAGGGCUGAGUCUUAACACAGUUCCUCCAGGAGGGAGGGGACUCUUGGCUCAGCCCCGAAUUAAUUCAUCUUCUAAAUGGAAAUGUCAAAGCCUGGCAAACAUUCCUGCUAAUGAUUCUGGUGAGGGGGUAUUCACGGGCAGCAAACAGUAGGCCACGUGAAAAUGGAUUUUGCCCGGGAAGCCGGGCUCUGUCUCUCUCAAGGGAGAAACCCUGAUAACCUAAUCUCAAUUCUGCAGCGGUUUCUGGAGGGCCGCCUAAGGAGUGGAAUUUUUUUUUCUUGUCAUUUCAUUAGUUCUGAAUAAGGGAAGGUGAUUCAGCUCCGGGCCCCGAGGGCAGGAAGCAGCAGCAGGGUCGCUUCAGGAGAAGGUUUCCGAGAAAGGGAGUCUCCACAUCCGAAGAAGCCGGUGAGAAACCAGGAGGGAGGGGUACCGAGUGGCCCAGCCAAGCGGGAGGACACCAGAGGGCCAUCUUCCCUCCGUGCCUGUCAUCCAAGGGGUGCACCGCCCGGUGGAUCCCCAGCGCCCCCAGGUCGCCUCUUGCCCCCUCCCCCCCCUCCUCCAUGGCAGAUGCCGUCUCCACCUUGCCUGGGACGAGCUAGGAAUUCUCCCACAGACCCUGGGAGCCAAGCACCCCUGACAAGCAGCCUGUCCCUUGGCAAUUACUAACCAGGUGUCUGUAGUUUGGUCAUUUCAAGAAUGUUAUAGACAUGGAAAUACAGUUGAUAAGCUUUCAAGAUUGGUUUUUUCACUAUGAAUACUGAAUACUCUUAGGCUUCUUCUAAAUUUUCAUGUAUCAAUGGUUCUUCUAUUUAUUAAGUAGUCAAUUUAGAGGGAAUGCAUGUGUGUGGGGGGAGGGGCAGAGGGAGAGAAUCCCAAGGAGGCUCCGCCCUUGCCAGUACCGAGUCCGAGACUCACAAACUGAGAUGGUGACCUGAGCCGAAAUCAAGAGUGAGGUGUUUAACCGCCUGAGCUACCCAGGUGCCCCAACAUCAUUUUUUAUUAAACAUAAAAAUUUCACCUUUUGGCUGUUGUUAGAGAAUCUAAGCAAUGGGUGGGUGGUUGCAGUAAAUGACCAACCCAAGAUUCCUUGGUGAAGGAUACUCGUCACGUUUCAGAUCAUAUACUGUUUAUAGUAUGCAGUUAAGUUUUCUAACUUGGGGGGAAGCCGACUUGGCUAUAUACGAAUCCUAAACUAUCCCACCUUUCUUGGUUACUUGCGCCACGAGGGCAGGGCCGGGUCAGUCUGGCCAUCGGAUUCCCUGCUGAUCCCGGCACAGCUCCUUGCAUGAGGCAGGUGGUGACCAACACCUGGUGCGUGGACAACUCCUUCGGAUGUGGUGCCACACACACGUCCCAGGUAGCCCGCUGGCUACCACUUGGAAGGUGCUGGCGGCAGAGGACGUUUUUAUCGCAGGGAGACGAGUCUAUAGAAUCAAGAGGACCCGCUUUGUCCAGACACCCGACUCAGGUUAACUGAACUAGUGUUCGGCAGUUGACAUGGUAAGAGAAUGCCGGCUUCUGGUUUCCUUGCUCCCAACCAGGUUUCCAAGUCAGCCCAGCCCGGUGUUGGCUAACUGGGCAUCACUGUGCGAGGCAGGCUCCGAGGACCUUUCCCGAGCGCUGUGGCCCGGUGGCUGUGUGAACAUCCAGAAUGAAGCGGGAAGAUCAGGUAUGAAGGCUUGGCUUUUUACUGAAAGGUUAUUUUUCCCACCUGGGACCAUUUCUUCUGGUACCCUCUGUGUUUGCCGUUCCUGUUGUGAGAUCUGGGGAAAGUAAACUGUGCCAGGAGUUGAAUUCUGCCUCUGGAGCCAGUUUUGUGUCAUCCCACUAAGAUGUUUAGCCAUCAGCACCGUGAUUAUGCGUAUUCAUCUCUGUGUCGAUGGGCGGCUCCCUAGGAAGAUCUAUUUUCAGGACCACGUGUUUACAUUGCUGAGGGACAGGAGGUGCAAGAUCAAAGCCCCGUGGCCGAGCGGGGCCUGCCGUGGGGUGGGGAAUGGGGACAGAGUGGAGAAUGCACUUGGCUAAUGACAGAAGUUGCUACGCUCCUUUUUGGGUGUAAUGGAAAUUGCCCAAAGGUUGGAAAAUGAGGGAGCAGCGUCGCCACACAAACAGGUUUAAACUGAACACUAGGGACGGAGGACACAUGUGCCUAUGACCAAAGGCGGCAGGAAGAGCAGGCAGUUGCCGGCUGCCGGUGCAGCUGCAGGAUGGUGUAAGGGCCUGGAAGCUUCUCUGCCCUGCGCUCUGGUUAUAGGGGCGGCGGGAGAGGGCACUUGUGCAUGAGAAGGGUCCCUUCACCUUUGUGAUUCUCUUCGCAGCCCUGUGCUGUCUUCUCUGGGUCUGAUUGCUUCCUGUGGUUUUUCCUUCUGCUGCUCUGAAAUGCUUGCUAUUCGUUUAACCUAGUUCAUCCUUUGUAUUAACGGCGACUAAACGGUCACUCUGGAGGCCGGAGGACCUGGCUUCCAGCCUUGGCUCAGCCACCUGCUAGUAGUGUGACCUGACUUCUCUGUUCCUCAAGUUGCCUUGUGUGUAGAAUGGAGAGAAUGGAGUUUAGGAUUGUCGGAAGAACUGAAUGAGUUAACACACGGAAAGCACGUGUCAUCUGAGGUGCCAGCUGUUACCGUGGAACAGCAAUUAGGAUUGGUUAAAAACCACCACCACAAAAACGUGUUCGCUUCAGUAAGCCACGGUCUCCUGAGGAUGUCACCCAGGGAUGCAGAAGUGAAACAAGCUGACGUUUCCAGAGACGGUGAGACUUUUUUCCGUUUGGGAUUCUCUUUAUUCUUUUGCCUUCUUUAUAUCAGAGCAUUAAGGGUUAUCGUAGGGAUUUAGUAACACACGUAGAGUAGAAAUUCAGGUUUCCUUUGGAAUAGGUGAACCGGUUAGCACAGAAAGUGUAACAUUAUGUAUGACCCCGUGAAGAGAGCAGGAGCUGCCUCUUUACAAAGAGUUACAUCUGUGUUUUUGGGAAAAAUGCCUGAGACCUUUCUGUGGUCCUCGAGGACUCUAGUCCUGGGCGUCCCAGGCCAAGGUGGCUUCUCCAGCAGGGACAGGCUUCCGUGCUGGCGACAGACGGGCAGCCUGCGGGCAGCGGCUUCCCCCACUCACUCCCGCAGCCAAGUAGGAGAUGGACACAGGCUCCCUGUUUCCCUUGCCCCUUGGCCGAUUCUCCGAAGAUUUACCCUCCUUCUCUCCUCCUCCCUCCCUGUUCCUAAAGCAUGUCUGUCUCCUAGUUUGAGUAGCAGAGGCGCAAGCUUUGAGGUUACAAAACAUGAAGUCCUGGCUGGUAUCGAAGUCUGGGAACACGGGCCACUUCCCAGUCUCCCAGCUCUUCUCCUCGCCCGCAGGGAACACUCCCGGCACGUGAGGGCCAGGGUGAUGGGACCGCGCUGGGCCACACAGGUGCCCCGCCGGCAGCUCUCCUUGCCCCAAGUCCUACAUGUCUGCUCUUCAGGCCUGUCAAGAACAGAAACAUGUUCUUGAACUCUGUUUCAGUGCCAGCUCUAAACUGGAAACCUAAUUCCUUCUAGAAGUUAUACCAACACCUCAGUGUGCUCAGAAUCAAAUGCAUCAUCAUUUCCCCCUUUGGGAUCCCCUUAUGUUAUUGAGAGGAAAAAAUCACAUUGUUCAGUGAGUUUGCUCAGAUGUGUCAGCCCUUCUGUCUCCGAAUCGGUGAGGUAAGUAAUCCCUACCCCACGGUAGCCCCUCAGGGGUUCGUGUCUGUGGGCGGUUGCGAACACAAGAUUCAGGGUCAGCGCGGAUGAAUGAGGGAACGAUGAAAACCCCAUCAUCUCCGUGCCUUUAAAAUGGAGGACGGUAUGGAAUGCUCCCGAUCUGACUUUUCAGAGAGAAAAAGUCGUAGCAGCCGGCGUAUGGUUGUGGCGUACAGAGGCUCUGGGUCCCUGCACAACACAGGGGGGCCGGUGACAGCCGGGGCCGCGGCGCCCUCCCGAGCGCGAGGCCUUCACAAGGGCUGAAGCGGGGCGGCGGUGAUGGGAGUCCGUCCGGCAGGUAGCCAGGAUCACCAGGGUUAUCCGGUGUUAAAUGUGAGAAAGCGUAGUCGUGAAAUAAAUGAAAAUGAAGCUACUUGCCUGUUAAGUGGGAGCAUAAAUGAGAAGUAAUUUCCUCUAACAUAACGAGAUGGGAGUUCGUUCCCACCAGGAUGGUUGUGUCCACAAGCGGUGGUCAGCUGAUGGCUGGACAGCGUGGAGACGAGCAGCACAAGCAAGAGUCAAGACACAGGAAACAUUUUGAUUAUUUUAUUUCAUAAUCUUCAAAAUCUUCUGCCAUGAGACAGGAAUGCAUGAUAGAAAUGGCUCAACAUCUUCACAUGAAACACUUGGAUUCAUUUUCAUUCACAAGUUUUUCUAAAAACAUCUACAAUUUCAUAAUCCCACCCACCUGCAACCAUUAUCACAGAUUUAAUUGACCAUUAAACAGUAGUUGCCAGCAAGAGAGCUGGAACGCUUCUGCGCAUUAGUAGUGUCUUUUGAAACUACCACCCAAGAGUAUCACCGUCAUAAAUCUCAUUGUACACAGCAACCGCAACGGUGACUGGUGUCCCAGGCACACUCCCUGCUGAUCGGAGAGAGCUGUAUCUCCCAGGUAAAGAAAUGCUUUUGCUUCUAGAACUACUUGUUCAUCUCAGUAUUUUUCUUGCAGGGAAGGAGCACAUGCUGAUCUUGAUGAUUCAGUUACGCUAAUAGGCAAGUAUAUAUGCCUGGCAUUUAUUGAUGCUCUCUGAUAAUUAUGUACAGAACAUACUGAAAAGUGGAUUGCUUGGAAUCUAGGUCUCUUCUUUUGAAGAGAACUCCUUUGAGGUUUUUUUUUUGAACUGUAAA